rnacentral:rRNA from 1 species
GAUGAACGCUGACAGAAUGCUUAACACAUGCAAGUCUACUUGAUCCUUCGGGUGAUGGUGGCGGACGGGUGAGUAACGCGUAAAGAACUUGCCUUGCAGUCUGGGACAACGUCUGGAAACGGACGCUAAUACCGGAUAUUAUGAUUGAAUCGCAUGAUUUAAUUAUGAAAGCUAUAUGCGCUGCGAGAGAGCUUUGCGUCCCAUUAGUUAGUUGGUGAGGUAACGGCUCACCAAGACGAUGAUGGGUAGCCGGCCUGAGAGGGUGAACGGCCACAAGGGGACUGAGACACGGCCCAG